GACGGAAAUCUGGCGCUGCAUUCACUUUGUCUGCUACUGAGUCAGCUAUUGACUGAGAUUAUGGAAAUUACGAGAUGACUGGAGCAGGAAAUUGAUAUUUCAAAUUCAUCUCGUAACAGAUAUUUCCUGUUGUUACGAGCAGGUUGACAAGAAAUUGGCGCUACAUUCACUUUUUGCACUACUGACUCAGGUGUUCAUUGAGAUCAUGGAAAUAACGAGGUUGACUGAAAUCUGGCGCUACAUUCAGUUUCUACGCUACUGACUCAGCUGUUGAUUGAAAUUAUGGAAAUAACGAGGUCACUGCAGCACAAAAAUGAUAUUUUAAAUAU